rnacentral:rRNA from 1 species
AUGUUAUCCUGCCCACCCAGGUGCAGCAGCAGGAACGGGGCCCAAAACGCCAUCAACUCGUGAUCGCUUGACCUGCUCGUCACGGACAGGUGGCCGAGGGUGUAUAUCGCCGUUGAGUCGGCCAGCAUGUACGCCGACCAAACCAAGGCCCUUAGCAUGCCGGAGUCCAUGCGUCGGCGGAGCUCCGCCAGCACGAGAAGCAUUAGCUGCAUCGUGAAGCUCAUGAGCACCAUCACUUGGAUCCCGCGUUCUUGCCAUGUCUGCACCUGCAGCUCCACUUUGGCCAUUGCUUGUUUCUCGAUCCACUUAAAAAACAAAUAA